UUGACAUGAGUAUAUCAAGAAUAUUCACCUCUCCAGGUGGCAUAGGGGAGCAUAGGGCUCUGCCCCAUGAUGUACAGUCCCUUUCCACAACGUUGGAGAUGAAGCUGGGCUUUGUGUCUGCACCUGCAUAUUCCUACGACUUCUCAGAGUCUGUGGACUAUGACUGAGGAGACAAACCAUGCAGGAAACAAAG
rnacentral:snoRNA from 1 species